CCUACGGGAGGCAGCAGUAGGGAAUAUUGCUCAAUGGGGGAAACCCUGAAGCAGCAACGCCGCGUGGAGGAUGACACUUUUCGGAGCGUAAACUCCUUUUGUUAGGGAAGAACAAUGACGGUACCUAACGAAUAAGCACCGGCUAACUCCGUGCCAGCAGCCGCGGUAAUACGGAGGGUGCAAGCGUUACUCGGAAUCACUGGGCGUAAAGGACGCGUAGGCGGAUUAUCAAGUCUCUUGUGAAAUCCUAUGGCUUAACCAUAGAACUGCUUGGGAAACUGAUAAUCUAGAGUGAGGGAGAGGCAGAUGGAAUUGGUGGUGUAGGGGUAAAAUCCGUAGAGAUCACCAGGAAUACCCAUUGCGAAGGCGAUCUGCUGGAACUCAACUGACGCUAAUGCGUGAAAGCGUGGGGAGCAAACAGGAUUAGAUACCCCAGUAGUC
rnacentral:rRNA from 1 species